UACGAAGGGGGGCUAGCGUUGCUCGGAAUCACUGGGCGUAAAGCGCACGUAGGCGGCUUACUAAGUCAGGGGUGAAAUCCUGGAGCUCAACUCCAGAACUGCCUUUGAUACUGGUGAGCUUGAGUCCCGGAAGAGGUGAGUGGAACUGCGAGUGUUAGAGGUGAAAUUCGUAGAUAUUCGCAAGAACACCAGUGGCGAAGGCGGCUCA
rnacentral:rRNA from 1 species